UAAGAUUUUAAGUUAAUAUUUAAACUAUUAAUCUUCAAAAUUAAAAAUAAAUUAUUUUAAAUCUUAAU
rnacentral:tRNA from 1 species